rnacentral:tRNA from 1 species
GCCGAGGUGGUGGAAUUGGUAGACACAGCGGAUUUAAAAUCCGCCGCUCCUGGCGUAUGGGUUCGAGUCCCGUGCGUGGCACCA